CUCGGCACGAAAACGAAGAAGCACUCGCCAAGGCUCGUGCUUUUUGUUUUCAAAGCCUCGCAUGAUAAACCUGAUCUAUAAUCAACACUAACCUAUUAUUCUCUAUAUAAUAUUCAGGUUUUUAAAUCGUCAAAAGAUGCAUAUAAUGGAUAUUUUAGAGUAUGGUAAAUGGUUAGUAUUACUGUUUCCUCACACAUAUCAUAACUACAACGAAAACUUGCGAAUUUUCAAAAAGUUUUUUUAAUAUUACAUUUUAAUUUACCAAAACGUGAAAAGGCCCCUUUAAUGCAAAAUAUUACAUGACCUAGUUAGAAACCGUGUCAUGUUAUUGAAAAACGAAACUACUUUCGAUUUGAUGUUAUUUGUGAAACAAUAUUGGAUACGUUGUUGUAGGGAUUAUUUCCACAGAGUCAGCCAGACCAUGAUUGAGCUUAAGGAUUAUGCUGCGGAUGCGGCCUGUGCAGUUCCGGGAGAAUGUUACCGUCUUGGGCAUUGCGGUCUGGUAUCAGGUCUGGAUGAUCCUUGCCUGACUCCGGGUUUGUGAACACCUCAAUCCGACUCCCUGUCCGGUACCGAGGCCGCAGUGGUGCAGCGCUUGUGGACGAUCCAUCAACAUCCUGAAAGGUCAACACUUCACCAAGCUGGGAAAAUUGAUCAUGAUAGUCAUCCCCAGAGUCAGCCAGACCAUGAUUGAGCUUAAGGAUUGUGCUGCGGAUGCGGCCUGUGCAGUUCCGGGAGAAUGUCACCGUCUUGGGCAUUGCGGUCUGGUAUCAGGUCUGGAUGAUCCUUGCCUGACUCCGGGUUUGUGUACACUUCAAUCCGACUCCCUGUCCGGUACCGAGGCCGCAGUGGUGCAGCGCUUGUGGACGAUCCAUCAACAUCCUGAAAGGUCAACACUUCACCAAGCUGGGAAAAUUGAUCCUGAUAGUCAUCCCCAGGUACUGAAAUGAAUGUACACUGAACUACAGAGGAAUCACACCCAAAUGACUUUCCCAACAUUAGUGUGGCCCCUCGGGCAAGAAUUCCUUAGCAAACAUGCUUUUUGCAUGGGGACUGUGGCAUUUUUGCAAAACUUAAGCUUUCAACACUGGAUUUUAAAGAGAACACUUAAUAAAAUGUAGCCAACAGGACUUAUUUUUAUGAGAGAGACUAUCUGGAUGAGCAACAAAUGUCACAUUGUGUCGUAAGCUGUUGAAGGAGCGAUUUGCGCCAUUUUAAGUGUUAAUUUUGGGUAGCAGGCUUGUAUCGGCUUGAAAGCUGCAAAUUUUUUCUCUCAUCAUAAUAGCAUUAAUUAUUUUAAUUGCAAUGUGUAUGUUUAGAUUGUAAGUGAAGCUUUUAGUAAUAAUUUUCUUGAAAAACAUGAUUUUAUAUGCUGUCAGUGAGUUUUUUGUGUGAAAAAAGUGCUUAAAAUUAAAAAAAAAUCUCCUUUUUCAUCAAGAAAAGUACACUGAUUCACAAUCAAUACAUUU